rnacentral:rRNA from 1 species
GACGAACGCUGGCGGCGUGCUUAACACAUGCAAGUCGAGCGGUAAGGCCCUUUCGGGGGUACACGAGCGGCGAACGGGUGAGUAACACGUGGGUGACCUGCCCUUAGCUCUGGGAUAAGCCUGGGAAACUGGGUCUAAUACCGGAUAUGACUCCAUGACGCAUGUUGUGGGGUGGAAAGCCUUGUGCGGCUAGGGAUGGGGCCCGCGGCCUAUCAGCUUGUUGGUGGGGUGAUGGCCACCAAGGCGACGACGGGUAGCCGGCCUGAGAGGGCGACCGGCCACACUGGGACUGAGACACGGCCCAGACUCCUACGGGAGGCAGCAGUGGGGAAUCUUGCGCAAUGGCGAAAGCCUGACGCAGCGACGCCGCGUGAGGGAUGACGG